rnacentral:rRNA from 1 species
CCUACGGGCGGCUGCAGUGGGGAAUCUUGCGCAAUGGCCGAAAGGCUGACGCAGCGACGCCGCGUGGGGGAUGAAGGCCUUCGGGUCGUAAACCCCUGUUGCCCGGGACGAACACGCCGUUUCGACGGCGCUGACGGUACCGGGUGAGGAAGCACCGGCUAACUCUGUGCCAGCAGCCGCGGUAAUACAGAGGGUGCGAGCGUUGUCCGGAAUCACUGGGCGUAAAGGGCGCGUAGGCGGUCUGCUAAGCGUGUGGUGAAAGCUCGGGGCUCAAC